AUUGAACGCUGGCGGCAUGCUUUACACAUGCAAGUCGGACGAGUGGCGAACGGGUGAGUCACGCAUCUGAACGUACCGAGUAAUGGGGGAUAACUGUCCGAACGGACAGCUAAACCCGCAUAUCAUCCCAGCGGCCGAUGUCUGAUUAGCUGGGUGGCGGGGUAAAGGCCCACCAAGGCGACGAUCAGUAGCGGGUCCGGGCGGAUGAUCCGCCACACUGGGACUGAGACACGGCCCAGACUCCUACGGGAGGCAGCAGUGGGGAAUUUUGGACAAUGGGCGCAAGCCUGAUCCAGCCAUGCCGCGUGUCUGAAGAAGGCCUUCGGGUUGUAAAGGACUUUUGUCAGGGAAGCGGUACCUGAAGAAUAAGCACCGGCUAACUACGUGCCAGCAGCCGCGGUAAUUC
rnacentral:rRNA from 1 species